AUGGCUGGUGUUCUAACGUAGACCCGUAAUCCGGGUUGCGGACAGUGUCUGGUGGGUAGUUUGACUGGGGCGGUCUCCUCCCAAAGAGUAACGGAGGAGCACGAAGGUUAGCUAAUCCUGGUCGGACAUCAGGAGGUUAGUGCAAUGGCAUAAGCUAGCUUGACUGCGAGAGUGACGGCUCGAGCAGGUGCGAAAGCAGGUCAUAGUGAUCCGGUGGUUCUGAAUGGAAGGGCCAUCGCUCAACGGAUAAAAGGUACUCCGGGGAUAACAGGCUGAUACCGCCCAAGAGUUCAUAUCGACGGCGGUGUUUGGCACCUCGAUGUCGGCUCAUCACAUCCUGGGGCUGAAGUAGGUCCCAAGGGUAUGGCUGUUCGCCAUUUAAAGUGGUACGCGAGCUGGGUUUAGAACGUCGUGAGACAGUUCGGUCCCUAUCUGCCGUGGGCGCUGGAGAAUUGAGGGGGGCUGCUCCUAGUACGAGAGGACCGGAGUGGACGCAUCACUGGUGUU
rnacentral:rRNA from 1 species